rnacentral:lncRNA from 1 species
UUUACAUCUAUUUUAGUUUAUGGCCAUAUGCCUGAAUACAUUUGCCCCACUAAUUCACAUUUGCACCUUGUAGGCCGUUAUGAAUGAUGUGCUCCCUACCAUAAAUUUUUGAAUUUUCCGGGCUCGGACCCAAUAUAUGGGUCUAUAUUUGAACGUCUUGGUAAGUGCAGACAAUUAAGAUCGAGGACAGAGUCGACCAUGGACCAAUAGCGAGGAGUCAUCUCAAGAAGGACUAUUGACGACGUUAAGUAAAUGGAGCAAGGAGGCCGGGGUAUGAUAGCUUGUUAAUAUACAUCAGGAAUAUUCCAUUGAAUAUUCCUUAUGUUGUACUUUUUAGGGUUUCUAAUAAUUAUUUCUUAUAAAUAGGACGAGAUAAAGAAAAAAGGGGACCUUCACUUUUUGAUAAGAUCACUUUAUAAAGAGUUGACUAAGAAGAAUAUACAAAUAUUGUAUUGUUCACUGACUACUUGGCUCAACAUAUGUUAUUCAUUCUUUGUUUGCUAGAUUCAAAGGUUUCUUAUCCCUCUUCACUUUCCAUCAUCACCAAAUUGCUGUCAGGAGAAAGAAUCAUCC